UACGGAGGGUGCAAGCGUUGUCCGGAUUUAUUGGGUUUAAAGGGUGCGUAGGCGGCCUGGUAAGUCAGCGGUGAAAUCCCACGGCUCAACCGUGGAACUGCCGUUGAUACUGUCAGGCUUGAGUUCGGUCGAGGCGGGCGGAACUGGUGAUGUAGCGGUGAAAUGCAUAGAUACCACCAAGAACCCCGAUUGCGAAGGCAGCUCGCCGGGCCGAAACUGACGCUGAGGCACGAAAGCAUGGGGAGCGAACAGG
rnacentral:misc_RNA from 1 species